rnacentral:rRNA from 1 species
CCUACGUGAGGCUGCAGUGAGGAAUAUUGGUCAAUGGACGAGAGUCUGAACCAGCCAAGUAGCGUGAAGGAUGACUGCCCUAUGGGUUGUAAACUUCUUUUAUAUGGGAGUAAAAUGUACCACGAGUGGCAUUUUGCAUGUACCAUAUGAAUAAGGAUCGGCUAACUCCGCGCCAGCAGCCGCGGUAAUACGGAGGAUCCGAGCGUUACCCGGAUUUAUUGGGUUUAAAGGGAGCGUAGGUGGAUUGUUAAGUCAGUUGUGAAAGUUUGUGGCUCAACCGUAGAAUUGCAGUUGAUACUGGCAAGCUUGAGUACAGUAGAGGUGGGCAGAAUUCGUGGUGUAGCGGUGAAAUGCGUAGAGAUCACGAAGAACACCGAUGGCGAAGGCAGCUCACUGGACUACAACUGACGCUGAGGCUCGAAAGUGUGGGUAUCAAACAGGAUUAGAUACCCGUGUAGUC